rnacentral:rRNA from 1 species
AUUGAACGCUGGCGGCAGGCCUAACACAUGCAAGUCGAACGGCAGCACAGAAGAGCUUGCUCUUUGGGUGGCGAGUGGCGGACGGGUGAGUAAUGUCUGGGAAACUGCCCGAUGGAGGGGGAUAACUACUGGAAACGGUAGCUAAUACCGCAUAACGUCGCGAGACCAAAGUGGGGGACCUUCGGGCCUCACACCAUCGGAUGUGCCCAGAUGGGAUUAGCUAGUAGGUGGGGUAAUGGCUCACCUAGGCGACGAUCCCUAGCUGGUCUGAGAGGAGGACCAGCCACACUGGAACUGAGACACGGUCCAGACUCCUACGGGAGGCAGCAGUGGGGAAUAUUGCACAAUGGGCGCAAGCCUGAUUCAGCCAUGCCGCGUGUAUGAAGAAGGCCUUCGGGUUGUAAAGUACUUUCAGCGGGGAGGAAGGCGGUGAGGUUAAUAACCUUGCCGAUUGACGUUACCCGCAGAAGAAGCACCGGCUAACUCCGUGCCAGCCGCCGCAGUAA